GGUGAAGGCUUCCCGCUUGUGCUUACGCUGCAUCCACAGGAGCCAUGAACUAGGACAUUCCCUUUAAGCAGGGCUUCCUCGCCGUGACUGGGUAGUGGAGAGCCAGGAAGCCACAUUCAUUUGAAGGCCAUCCUAAUCUUUGCAUAAGAACACAAUAUCUUUUAAUGAAGAGGGUGUCAGAGAAAAGAUGCUUCAGUGUCAUAAAUAUGAGCUAAUUCUGAAAACUGAAGUUCUGCAGCCCCCAGAUGAGCAGGGACGAGAAAAUGAGCAAAGCCCUCCUGUUGGACAGCAUUCUCAUAUCACCCACUUGAAAAUUAAAUCUGAAACAGA